GGUGACUGCGGAGGAUCAUUAC
rnacentral:rRNA from 1 species